CCUGAAAGAACCUGCCUUUGUAGUGUCCACACAGAUUGUCUGAUGAAAAAUAAGCAGUAAGAAAAUCUCUGCAGGCUUGUAGCUCAGGUGGUUAGAGCGCACCCCUGAUAAGGGUGAGGUCGGUGGUUCAAGUCCACUCAGGCCUACCAAAUUUCUGCUGAUGCUGCGUUGCGGCGACACUCACAUACUUUAAGUAUGCUUCGUGUCACCACGCCUUGCCUCAACAGAAAUUAAGGUUGAUGAGAUUUUAACUACGAUGGGGCUAUAGCUCAGCUGGGAGAGCGCCUGCUUUGCACGCAGGAGGUCUGCGGUUCGAUCCCGCAUAGCUCCACCAUCAUUACUGCCAAAAACAAGAAAACUUCAGAGUGUACCUGAAAAGGUUCACUGCGAAGUUUUGCUCUUUAAAAAUCUGGAUCAAGCUGAAAAUUGAAACGACACACUGUUCAAGUGUGUUCGAGUCUCUCAAAUUUUCGCGACACGAUGAUGUUUCAUGAAACAUCUUCGGGUUGUGA
rnacentral:misc_RNA from 1 species